AUUUAGCUAGCGUGAGGGAUUGAAGAGGAAAGCCCGGAGUGAGGUACGAACGAGGACUUGAAACAAAAAGCCCGACCCGAA
rnacentral:sRNA from 1 species